AUUGAACGCUGGCGGCAGGCCUAACACAUGCAAGUCGAGCGGAGCGGCGGGCGGGUGAGUAAUGCCUAGGAAUCUGCCUGGUAGUGGGGGAUAAAGUCCGGAAACGGGCGCUAAUAACGCAUACUAACAGAUGAGCCUAGGUAGGAUGUGCUAGUUGGUGGGGUAAGGGCCUACCAAGGCGACGAUCCCUAACUGGUCUGAGAGGAUGAUCAGUCACACUGGAACUGAGACACGGUCCAGACUCCUACGGGAGGCAGCAGUGGGGAAUAUUGGACAAUGGGCGAAAGCCUGAUCCAGCCAUGCCGCGUGUGUGAAGAAGGUCUUCGGAUUGUAAAGCACUUUCAGCUGGGAGGCGUUACCAGCAGAAGAAGCACCGGCUAACUUCGUGCCAGCAGCCGCGGUAAUUC
rnacentral:rRNA from 1 species